rnacentral:rRNA from 1 species
UACGUAGGUGGCAAGCGUUGUCCGGAAUUACUGGGCGUAAAGCGUGCGCAGGCGGUUAUGUAAGACAGUUGUGAAAUCCCCGGGCUCAACCUGGGAACUGCAUCUGUGACUGCAUAGCUAGAGUACGGUAGAGGGGGAUGGAAUUCCGCGUGUAGCAGUGAAAUGCGUAGAUAUGCGGAGGAACACCGAUGGCGAAGGCAAUCCCCUGGACCUGUACUGACGCUCAUGCACGAAAGCGUGGGGGAGCAAACAGG